GGUGAACCUGCGGAAGGAUCAUUACCGAUGUGAAAGAAUCCAAGGUUAAACAUCAUUAACCAGUGUGAACUGUGAAACAACUCUUUAGGGGUCGGCACAGGCGUGUGUCGUUAAAUGGCGGAUAGGUUCCUUCCGCCAGCCCCGCCAUUGUGUUUAUGAUAUCACUUUGAACGUUUAAGACUGAGAACGUAUGUAUCAUGCAUUAAAUGUAUGAGAAAGAAGGAAAGAAAAAUGAGAGACAACUUUUGACGGUGGAUCUCUUGGCUCACGUAUCGAUGAAGAACGCAGCCAGCUGCGAUAUGUAGUGUGAAUUGCAGAAUUCAGUGAAUCAUUGAAUCUUUGAACGCAAAUGGCGCUCUUGGGUUCUCCCAGGAGCAUGUCUGUCUGAGUGUCGGAUUUUAUCGAACGCACUCGUGAGUGCGGUAUUGAGGUGUCACGGCGUGUUAGCAAGCAAGCAAGCAUUAAAUCGCCGUGUCCCUUGAAGGACAGCAGCAUUGGACUCGCAUUCUCUAUUGAAACUUGAGUGCGAAGGCUAAAGAUAAUAUUUUCCUUCGCCCAAACAUGCAAUAGCAGAAACAAAAUCCAAUCAAAGCGGUGAGUGACAAUAAACAUCAAAUCUUGACCUCAGAUCAGGCAAGGCUACCCGCUGA
rnacentral:sRNA from 1 species